GGGGCCUUAGCUCAAUUGGCAGAGCACCGCCUUUGCAAGGCGGGGGUUAGGGGUUCAAGUCCCCUAGGCUCCA
rnacentral:tRNA from 1 species